rnacentral:rRNA from 1 species
UACGUAGGGUGCAAGCGUUAAUCGGAAUUACUGGGCGUAAAGCGUGCGCAGGCGGUUUUGUAAGACAGAGGUGAAAUCCCCGGGCUCAACCUGGGAACUGCAUUUGUGACUGCACGGCUGGAGUGCGGCAGAGGGGGAUGGAAUUCCGCGUGUAGCAGUGAAAUGCGUAGAUAUGCGGAGGAACACCGAUGGCGAAGGCAAUCCCCUGGGCCUGCACUGACGCUCAUGCACGAAAGCGUGGGGAGCAAACAGG